AGUGAACGCUGGCGGUAGGCCUAACACAUGCAAGUCGAACGGCAGCACAGUAAGAGCUUGCUCUUACGGGUGGCGAGUGGCGGACGGGUGAGGAAUACAUCGGAAUCUACUUUUUCGUGGGGGAUAACGUAGGUAAACUUACUCUAAUACCGCAUACGACCUACGGGUGAAAGCAGGGGAUCUUCGGACCUUGCGCGAUUGAAUGAGCCGAUGUCGGAUUAGCUAGUUGGCGGGGUAAAGGCCCACCAAGGCGACGAUCCGUAGCUGGUCUGAGAGGAUGAUCGGCCACACUGGAACUGAGACACGGUCCAGACUCCUACGGGAGGCAGCAGUGGGGAAUAUUGGACAAUGGGCGCAAGCCUGAUCCAGCCAUACCGCGUGGGUGAAGAAGGCCUUCGGGUUGUAAAGCCCUUUUGUUGGGAAAGAAAAGCAGCAGGUUAAUACCCCGCUGUUCUGACGGUACCCAAAGAAUAAGCACCGGCUAACUUCGUG
rnacentral:rRNA from 1 species